GGGUAACUCCCAGGCGUGGUGACACGUGGCAAGCGCAACAGAGAGCAGACCGCCCGGGCAACCGGGUAAGGGUGAAACGGUGAGGUAAGAGCUCACCAGCACGGCGGGUGACCGUCGUGGCUAGGCAUGCCCCACCCGGAGCAAGGCCAAGCAGGGAGAGGGCGGCCCGUCCGCUCCCGGACCGAUGGUCCGGGGAUACUCCCAGGUAGGCCGCGCGAGGCAGCGGGUAACCGGUGUCCCAGAGAGAUGGUCGCCACCCGUGGCCGGGCAACCAGCCACGGGAACAGGAUCCGGCUUACCGGCCGACUCCUCCC
rnacentral:RNase_P_RNA from 1 species